UACGUAGGGUGCAAGCGUUGUCCGGAAUUAUUGGGCGUAAAGAGCUCGUAGGCGGUCUGUCGCGUCGGCUGUGAAAUCCCGAGGCUCAACCUCGGGUCUGCAGUCGAUACGGGCAAACUAGAGUAUUGCAGGGGAGACUGGAAUUCCUGGUGUAGCGGUGAAAUGCGCAGAUAUCAGGAGGAACACCGGUGGCGAAGGCGGGUCUCUGGGCCGAUACUGACGCUGAGGAGCGAAAGCCAGGGAGGCGAAACGGG
rnacentral:rRNA from 1 species